GUGAGUGGCGAACUGGUGAGUAACACGUGGGAAACCUGCCCAGAAGCGGGGGAUAACACCUGGAAACAGAUGCUAAUACCGCAUAACAACUUGGACCGCAUGGUCCGAGUUUGAAAGAUGGCUUCGGCUAUCACUUUUGGAUGGUCCCGCGGCGUAUUAGCUAGAUGGUGGGGUAACGGCUCACCAUGGCAAUGAUACGUAGCCGACCUGAGAGGGUAAUCGGCCACAUUGGGACUGAGACACGGCCCAAACUCCUACGGGAGGCAGCAGUAGGGAAUCUUCCACAAUGGACGAAAGUCUGAUGGAGCAACGCCGCGUGAGUGAAGAAGGGUUUCGGCUCGUAAAACUCUGUUGUUAAAGAAGAACAUAUCUGAGAGUAACUGUUCAGGUAUUGACGGUAUUUAACCAGAAAGCCACGGCUAACUACGUGCCAGCAGCCGCGGUAAUACGUAGGUGGCAAGCGUUGUCCGGAUUUAUUGGGCGUAAAGCGAGCGCAGGCGGUUUUUUAAGUCUGAUGUGAAAGCCUUCGGCUCAACCGAAGAAGUGCAUCGGAAACUGGGAAACUUGAGUGCAGAAGAGGACAGUGGAACUCCAUGUGUAGCGGUGAAAUGCGUAGAUAUAUGGAAGAACACCAGUGGCGAAGGCGGCUGUCUGGUCUGUAACUGACGCUGAGGCUCGAAAGUAUGGGUAGCAAACAGGAUUAGAUACCCUGGUAGUCCAUACCGUAAACGAUGAAUGCUAAGUGUUGGAGGGUUUCCGCCCUUCAGUGCUGCAGCUAACGCAUUAAGCAUUCCGCCUGGGGAGUACGGCCGCAAGGCUGAAACUCAAAGGAAUUGACGGGGGCCCGCACAAGCGGUGGAGCAUGUGGUUUAAUUCGAAGCUACGCGAAGAACCUUACCAGGUCUUGACAUACUAUGCAAAUCUAAGAGAUUAGACGUUCCCUUCGGGGACAUGGAUACAGGUGGUGCAUGGUUGUCGUCAGCUCGUGUCGUGAGAUGUUGGGUUAAGUCCCGCAACGAGCGCAACCCUUAUUAUCAGUUGCCAGCAUUAAGUUGGGCACUCUGGUGAGACUGCCGGUGACAAACCGGAGGAAGGUGGGGAUGACGUCAAAUCAUCAUGCCCCUUAUGACCUGGGCUACACACGUGCUACAAUGGAUGGUACAACGAGUUGCGAACUCGCGAGAGUAAGCUAAUCUCUUAAAGCCAUUCUCAGUUCGGAUUGUAGGCUGCAACUCGCCUACAUGAAGUCGGAAUCGCUAGUAAUCGCGGAUCAGCAUGCCGCGGUGAAUACGUUCCCGGGCCUUGUACACACCGCCCGUCACACCAUGAGAGUUUGUAACACCCAAAGUCGGUGGGGUAACCUUUUAGGAACCAGCCGCCUAAGUGGACAGGUGUU
rnacentral:rRNA from 2 species